GGAGGAGCAGGACGAGGGUGAAGACGAGCAGAGAGAAAGGGCGGGAGCUGUUCCCACCGCUCCCAGGGCUGAAUCCGGAGAAACCCAGCUGUACCUGCUGAACACCGGAUUUCAAGAAGUGUGCCUGGCUGACAUAUCGAAUAGCACUCCUCAGCCUGUUUAAUCUAAAUUGACUGCAUCUUUGUAGCAGCUGGCCACAGAGAAAAACAAAAGAAUUCUUGAUGAAAAAGGCACUUCUCUCCUGACUCAAGGCAGCCACAGCAGCAGCUAAACAUUUCAUAGCAUGCUACACACUGCUGUUCAGAUGUGGACAUUGGGAGGGAAGGAAAAAAUGAACUUUACAGAAGUGAAAUGUGCGUUAAUUAACAAGUUAGGGUUUUCUCCCCCACCCUGGAUGGAGAGAAAUGAGAAACGUAUUAAUGUCUGGUUCUUUAUACUUUCCAAGAUUUCUUCAGCGUUUCCUAAUUAAAAUGUAGCUGGAAAAUGAACACAGGGGAGAGGGUGGUAAACAGGGGUGGGGGUCUGUCUUCCUGGUGCUUUGUCUGGAGUCCCCAGCCUCCCACCAGCAGGGAUCUGCCCUCCCACGCGCAGACACUCCCAUCCAUGUCUGUGCGUGUUUCCUUCCUUGAGUCCCGUCAGGAGGUUGCCCACAUCAUCUGCACGGCUACUCAGCAUCCUCUGUUUUUGCCAGCUCAGGGAACAACUCCAAGGCCCACAGCAGACCAGCAGACACACUUGAGAUCCCUGUGGCCUCUGGAUCACCCCUCUCCACUCACAGCUCCUGACUUAUGUCACUUUAAAAGGGGUGGGGGAUGUCCUACCUGUUCUUGGACACCCUUGAUGUGUAAAAGCCACAGCUCCACGCAAUAACCCAUGAUUGGCUUGGGCUGGUGAAUGACAAGGGCAUUCUGAUACCUUUCCCCCUUGUCCACUGCCUUGCUCACGAUGGCUGGCAGUGCUAUCAAUCAGGAGGCAUGAAGGCAGAGCAGUGCCAGCCUGUGUGUGGGCAUGGCAGCCUUGCUCCCAAGUGAUUAAUGGAACCUCAUGAUGACACUGUUCUCUUUGGGCCUGAUUGCUAGGAACUCCUUAUUGCCUGGGUGGAGAUCGUAUAGCAACGGUGGGAAGAAUUUUUCUAGUAGAAUCCAAGUAAGCCAUAUUUUUUCUUCCUUUUCCUUCUCUUUCUUUCACAUGAGGUUCGACAUUUUGUGAACACACACACUGUUGAUUCCUAGAGCCAAGCCGGUCAGUUCAGUAGCCAUUAGCC
ensembl:lncRNA